UACGAAGGGUGCAAGCGUUAAUCGGAAUUACUGGGCGUAAAGCGUGCGUAGGCGGUUUGUUAAGUCUGUUGUGAAAUCCCCGGGCUCAACCUGGGAAUGGCAAUGGAUACUGGCAAGCUAGAGUGUGUCAGAGGAUGGUGGAAUUCCCGGUGUAGCGGUGAAAUGCGUAGAGAUCGGGAGGAACAUCAGUGGCGAAGGCGGCCAUCUGGGACAACACUGACGCUGAGGCACGAAAGCGUGGGGAGCAAACAGGG
rnacentral:rRNA from 1 species